rnacentral:rRNA from 1 species
UGGGGAAUAUUGGACAAUGGGCGGAAGCCUGAUCCAGCCAUGCCGCGUGUGUGAAGAAGGCCUUUUGGUUGUAAAGCACUUUAAGCGAGGAGGAGGCUACUUGGAUUAAUACUCUAGGAUAGUGGACGUUACUCGCAGAAUAAGCACCGGCUAACUCUGUGCCAGCAGCCGCGGUAAUACAGAGGGUGCGAGCGUUAAUCGGAUUUACUGGGCGUAAAGCGUGCGUAGGCGGCUUCUUAAGUCGGAUGUGAAAUCCCUGAGCUUAACUUAGGAAUUGCAUUCGAUACUGGGAAGCUAGAGUAUGGGAGAGGAUGGUAGAAUUCCAGGUGUAGCGGUGAAAUGCGUAGAGAUCUGGCGGAAUACCGAUGGCGAAGGCAGCCCUCUGGCCUAAUACUGACGCUGAGGUACGAAAGCAUGGGGAGCAAACAGG